rnacentral:lncRNA from 1 species
GUCGAGAUCUUGAGUUAUGGAUCUGCACACAAAAAAUGAGAGAACUUGCUAGAUUGACUCCAGUAAGGGCUUCCUAUUUUCAAGUCAAGUCGAGCUAUGGAGUAAAGAAAAUAACGGAUAAUUAAAGUAGUGUUACCCUAUUUUAGCCAGUUUGCUUCACUUUAGCUUUCAAGAGUUUGACUUUAGGAGGUUGACUUCAGGAGCUCAGCUUUGGGAGGUUGAUUUUGG